AAAUGAAUACACCAACCUGAUGCAGCAACUGCUUGUUUAAUAUGAUCUAUUUGGAACCCCUGAUGCAGAAGUGGUUGAGCCCAAACAGACUCUCAGUUUUGCAACGGCCACCCACACGCACAAUUCCUUCAGGAUGAAACUUUGCUAUUCCUUCCAAGAAUUGAUCAAGUGCAUGGUUGGUGUAACAUACCACAAGAAUUGGAUUUUUUAUUUCUUUCGAAAUGACACUAUGUCCGAACACAAAACAGUUAAACAAAAUACAAGACAUAUAACAAAAAAA